CAUCAUACCUUACCUCCUUCAGGAAGAGGAUCAUGCACCUGAACCCAGUACUGAUCCUGCCACAAGCCACUUACCUCCCUAGUAGGAUUGUUGAAUACAUCCUCUGUCCACAUUUCAUUCUCUAAGACAGGCACUUUGGUGGUACCAAUCACCUAUACAGGUCAUCAACUAACAUUCAUCAUCAUACUGCUUGUAAACUGUGCUGUACUUGAGUGGUUAGCCUUUUUCUGCUUGAUGCUGAAAGUGACCAACUGUUUACCCGGUAUGUCUCAAACUAUAGAUUCCUGGCUUUCAUAUGGUUCAGACAGCUCCACACUUCCACCAUAACAUAUCAUUAUUUCUUCUAGCCACUAAAACUUAACACUUGGAUAGCAGAAUUUUAUACUGAAGAAAUAUACGUAUUGAAUAUACAAAUCACAAAUAGUCACUCUACAUACUCUGGCAGUCAACACUGCCAAAGAAACCAGAAAAAAAGAAACCUCUUCCUUCUGAAGAGGAAGAAGGAUAUGAGAAGUAUGGCUUAAUGGCAUAGUUUUGGAAAAGUUACAAAUUCCAGCAGGGAGAGCAAUGACUAUUACAUGGUACCUGUUAGUGCAAUGUUAAUCAAUAGAUGCUUUAGUUCACAAAUUCUGCACUUAUUUAGUAUACACAAUGCAUUCUACAAAUGAUUUUCCAAAAAAUCUAAAUUUGUUAAAUAUGAAAAAAUUGGCAAUCAAAUCAUCACUCCAGAAAAGCAGAUGUUCAAGGACAAAAUGAGAAACAAAGGGAACUACUGCUGUAAUACAUACAAUAAUAUUCAGAUGAUGUUUCUUUUAGCAUUUACUUUGUACUGUUCUUUUAGCACACUUUUUUCAUUCUUUCUUAUUUUGUUUAAAUUAUUUGCAAGUCUACUCUACCAGUUUGUAAUUUCCUUGAAGUAACAGGUGUCUUCUUAGUCAUUUGUUUGCCACGGUAUAUUUAUAUUAAAAAAAAGUUUUUUUUUUUUGAGACAGGGUCUCACUCUGCUACCCGGGCUGGAGUGCAGUGGCACAGGUCAUAGCUCCCUGCAGCCUUGACCUCUUCCCAGGCUCAAAGGAUCCUCCCACCUCAGCCUCCAAAGGAGUUGGGACUACAGACGUGCACCACCACACCCAGUUAGUUAAAAAAAAAAAUUGUGGAGAUGGGGUCUUGCUCUGUUGCCCAGGCUGGUCUCAAAAUCCUGGGCUCAAGCAAUCCCUCCAACUUGGCCUUCCAAGGUGCUGGGAUUACAGGUGUCAGCCACUAUGCCUGUUUUUUGUUUGUUUCUUUUUUACUGGUAGAGCUAUAUUUAGACAAAUUUCUAAAGGAAGACAAAAUUGAGGUGUUUCCACAUUCACUAAAAUCUUAAAUAAGGGCAAAUAAAAGUUUUUUUCAACAAGCUCCUCUGUCUUAAUUCGCAUUGUGCUUGCUGGAAACUACAGCCAUGUUUAGAUCUCAUCUAUACUCUAUUUUGGAAAAAGUCUAAUCAUUAACUUCACAUACUAAUUAAUGGCUGUAGUUAAGCUGUGAAACCUUACCUAAGCUAAUAGGAAAUUACCUUCACAUGAGGACAACUUAAGUGAUUCAGACACUCCACGGUUCUGACUAUACUUUUGCUGUGUUGCCACCUAAUUUUUAUUACUACUCCCUUACUCACUACUCCAGCCAAACAGGCCUUUCUGCUGUUCACUGAAGACACCAAGCACAUUCCAAGCCAAAAGUCUUUCUGCAUUGGUGGUCCCUCUGCCUGGAAUGCUCUUUCCCCAGCUGUCAGCACAGCUAACUCCUUCACCUCCUUCCAAUAUUUGCUCAAAUGUCAUUUUCUCAGUGAAGCCUACCUAAGAUUGCAUCUUGCAUUCCCCAUUCCUCUUACCUCGCUGUAUUUUUUUCCUAUGGUACUCAUGUACUUCCAACCUAUAACUUCCUUUUUGUUUACUGUUUAUUAUUUGUCUUCCCCAAACUAGAAUGUAAGCUCCACAGGACAGAGAUCUCUGUUUUGUUUACACAUAGACCAUUCCAAGAAGUUGGACAUUGCCUGGUACACAGUAAGCACUCAAUUACUGAAUAAAUGAGUGGAUAUCAUACUUAGCACAAAAGGCAUCUCUCUCUUCAGGUUCUGAAUAUGAGUCAUUAAUAGUGCACCUCAACUUCACUCCAGCACUUAAAUGCAUGACUUAAAAAAAAAAAAAAAAAAGCAUGUGGCUUACAGCGUGUGUGGAAAAAUUUUCCAGUAUAUGAUCCUCUGAGCCUUUCAUUAAACAGUCCUUUGAGCUUUGUGACAUCAUAAUUCUGCUAAGUGGGUCGCUAUUACCAUUCUCAUAUUGCAAACUCAAGUAGGCAGUUAUGUAGCCCCCGCCCAAAUUCGUGAACCCAAAACAAAACCCACAAGAUCUCAUCAACAGUUUUUACCUCACAGCUGACACUUACAAAGGAGUUCCAAGUGCUUCCGCCAACUCCUCCUACCAGCAACUGUGAAAACAACGGCCACAAGGAGUAAUGCUGCUUUUCACACAGAAAGGGGUUCUACUGUGCCUGACCUUAAGACAGGAAAAGUAGGGGAGCUAAGGAAGCUACCUACACCACCCUCACCCCCAGUAGCCAGCCUCAGGAAGGAAGAGGCACAGCGGUGUGAAUGGAUGGAGAAGAGGAGGCCGGUAGGCUGAGCCCCUGGCUCCUGGAACGAACACACAGCCAUGGCAGAGGAGAAUGUGGCUUGAAUAGGUUCCAUGACUUGUACAAGACCACAGCUGGUACAUGAUGAAGCAAGGACAAGACACGGGCAUCUGACCUCAAGAGUCUCUCCAAUCAUGAAAUACCUAAACUCUGCAAGUCAGAAGACAGUGGGGGCCAAUAUUCAACAUUCUUAAAGAAAGGAAUUUUCAACCCAGAAUUUCAUAUCCAGCCAAACUAAGCUUCAAAAGUGAAGGAGAAAUAAAAUCCUUUACAGACAAGCAAAUGCUGAGAGAUUUUGUCACCACCAGGCCCACCCUACAAGAGUUCCUGAAGGAAGCACUAAACAUGGAGAGGAAUAACUGGUACCAGCCACUGCAAAAACAUGCCAAUUGUAAAGAGCAUUGAGGCUAGGAAGAAACUGCAUCAACUAAUGAGCAAAAUAACCAGCUAACAUCAUAAUGACUCGAUCAAAUUCACACAUAACAGUAUUAACCUUAAGUGUAAAAGGGCUAAAUUCUCCAAUUAAAAGAUGCAGACUGGCAAAUUGGAUAAAGAGUCAAGACCCAUCAGUGUGCUGUAUUCAGGAAACCCAUCUCAUGUGCAGAGACACACAUAGGCUCAAAAUAAAGGGAUGGAGGAAGAUCUACCAAGCAAAUGGAAAACAAAAAAAGGCAGGGGUUGCAAUCCUAGUCUCUGAUAAAACAGACUUUAAACCAACAAAGAUCAAGAGAGACAAAGAAGGCCAUUACAUAAUGGUAAAGGGAUCAAUUCAACAAGAAGAGCUAACUAUCCUAAAUAUAUAUGCACCCAAUACAGGAGCACCCAGAUUCAUAAAGCAAGUCCUUAGAUACUUACAAAGAGACUUAGACUCCCACACAAUAAUAAUGGAAGACUUUAACACCCCACUGUCAACAUUAGACAGAUCAAUGAGACAGAAAGUUAAAAAGGAUAUCCAGGAAAAUCCCUUGAUCUUACGUGCAACAUCCACAAGCAUGUAGCUAACACCAGAUAGGACAGGACAGGAAUCCAAAGACAGAAUCAAGAUAAGACAAAAAAGUGCAAGAGCCAGUGUUUGGGGAGAGGGUCAAGUUUAUUUUUACCUUUUUUUUUUUUUAAUUAACUGAGAAUCAACAAAAUCAGUGAGUGUUCACACAGCAUAAUUCUG